rnacentral:rRNA from 1 species
CGGAGGAACUCGGGGGCUAUACCGCAUAAUCUCUGCCUUUGUUUAGAUAGAGUAAAGUGGGGGAUCUUCGGACCUCGCGCUAUAAGAUGAGCCUACGUCGGAUUAGCUUGUUGGUGGGGUAAUGGCCUACCAAGGCGACGAUCCGUAGCUGGUCUGAGAGGACGAUCAGCCACACUGGGACUGAGACACGGCCCAGACUCCUACGGGAGGCAGCAGUGGGGAAUCUUGGACAAUGGGGGAAACCCUGAUCCAGCAAUGCCGCGUGUGUGAAGAAGGCCUUAGGGUUGUAAAGCACUUUCGGUAGGGAAGAAAUCACUAGGGGGUAACAUCCCCUUGAGGGUUGACGUUACCUAUAGAAGAAGCACUGGCUAACUCUGUGCCAGCAGCCGCGGUAAUACAGAGAGUGCGAGCGUUAAUCGGAAUCACUGGGCGUAAAGCGCGCGUAGGUUGAUGUUUAAGUCGGAUGUGAAAGCCCUGAGCUUAACUUAGGAAUUGCAUCCGAUACUGAAUGUCUUGAGUAUGGUAGAGGGAAGUGGAAUUUCCGGUGUAGCGGUGAAAUGCGUAGAUAUCGGAAAGAACACCAGUGGCGAAGGCGGCUUCCUGGACUAAUACUGACACUGAGGUGCGAAAGCGUGGGGAGCAAACAGGAUUAGAGACCCUGGUAGUCCACGCCGUCAACGAUGAGAACUAGCUGUUGGAAAGUAUGCUUUCUAGUAGCGAAGCUAACGCAUUAAGUUCUCCGCCUGGGGAGUACGGCCGCAAGGUUAAACUCAAGAAUUUGACGGGGGCCCGCCACAAGCGGUGGGAGCAUGUGGUUAAUUCAAUGCAACGCGAAAAACCUUACCUACCCUUGACAUCCUCGGAACUUGUCAAAAUGACUUGGUGCCUCGGGAAACGAGUGACAGGGCUGCAUGGCUGUCUCAGCUCGUGUCUGAGAUGUUGGGUUUAGUCCCGUAACGAGCGCAAACCUCUGUCCUUAUUACCAGCGGGUCGGCCGGGACUCUAAGAGAAAUGCCGGGACAACCCGAGAAGAGGGGAUGAUGUCAGUCUUCUUGGCCCUUACGGGUAAGGCUACCCACGUGCUACAUGGGCCAGUACAAAGGUUGCAACUGCGAGGGGGAGCUAUUCCAAAACCGCUCCUAUCCGGAUUGAUCGGACUGACUCUCGAAGUGAAUCCUAGUAUACCCGAUUCA